UUUCUCUAAGACACUUUGGACUCUUUGGAUCCGCUCAGGACUCUGGACUGAGCAUGGAUCAGAGAGAGACCAGAGAGGACGCAGCCCCUCCCACCACCAGCAGGGCGGCGCUGGGAAGUGAAUGGUCUCAUGACCGACUGAUUACUUUUAAAAAGGAGCAUGGUCCACAGAUCCACCAGAAACAUCCUCCAUCUGAACCUGGUCCCAUCUGUGAGUCCCUCAGGAGUGACUGGUCUAUGGAUAAGCCACUUGAUUUUGCCAAAGACCCAGUGGAGCAGCAGGGUCCAGAGGUCUCCAGUGGUCAGCACCAUCAGACACAGCUGGACUCCAUAUUUAAGCUUCUGGAGGAGGACAUCUUCACUUUUGUCCAGAAGGAGCUGAAGAAGCUCCACAAGGUUCUGAGUACAGAUUACCCAGA
ensembl:lncRNA